rnacentral:rRNA from 1 species
UGGGGAAUAUUGCGCAAUGGGCGAAAGCCUGACGCAGCGACGCCGCGUGGAGGAUGAAGGCCUUCGGGUUGUAAACUUCUGUUAAGUGGGAGGAAAUGCGUGCGUUUAAUAGACGUACGAGCUGACAGUACCACUAGAGAAAGCACUGGCUAAUCUCGUGCCAGCAGCCGCGGUAAUACGAGAGGUGCAAGCGUUAUUCGGAAUCAUUGGGCGUAAAGGGUGUGUAGGCGGUAUGCUAAGUCAAUUGUUUAAUUUCCCGGCCCAACCGGGAGCUAGCAGUAGAUACUGGUGUACUAGAGUAUGGAAGAGAGAAGUGGAAUUCUCGGAGUAGCGGUAAAAUGCGUAGAUCUCGAGAGGAACACCGAUGGCGAAGGCAGCUUCUUGGUCCAUUACUGACGCU